GAUGUAUGGAAACACAUAACCUGUUUGUUAGGGAACAACAAUAACAUGACGAUGUAUGGAAACACAUAACCUGUUUGUUAGGGAACAACAAUAACUCUAGUCAGUCUAAAAUCUUAAGUUUCUCCUGGUGAGUCGACUAACAAUUCAAGCAUUCAACCAUUCUGGAGUGUAGCUUAAUAGCUUAAUUCUGGAAUGUAGGUUUAGACUCCAAACAUCUGGAAUGUAGUUUAAGACUCCAAACAUUCUGGAAUGUUGGUAAAGACCCCAAACAUUCUGGAAUGUAGGUUAAGACCCCAAACAUUCUGGAAUGUAGGUUAAGACUCCAAACAUUCUGGAAAGUAAGUUAUGACUCCAAACAUUCUGGAAUGUUGGUUAAGACCCCAAACAUUCUGGAAUGUAGGUUAAGACACCAAACAUUCUGGAAUGUAGGUUAAGACUCCAAACAUUCUGGAAUGUAGGUUAUGACUCCAGACAUUCUGGAAAGUAGGUAAUGACUCCAAACAUUCUGGAAUGUAGGUUAAGACACCAAACAUUCUGGAAUGUAGGUUAAGACUCCAAACAUUCUUGAAUGUAGGUUAUGACUCCAAACAUUCUGGAAUGUAGGUAAAGACUUCAACCAUUCUGGAAUGUAGGUUAAGACUCCAAACAUUCUGGAAUGUAGGUUAAGACUCCAAACAUUCUGGAAUGUAGGUUAAGACUCCAAACAUUCUGGAAUGUAGGUUUAGACUCCAACCAUUCUGGAAUGUAGUGUAAGAAUACAACCAUUUUGGAAUGUAAGUUAAGGCUACAAACAUUCUGUGUUCUGAAGUGUAGGUUAAAACUACAACCAUUUUGGAAUGUAAGUUAAGGCUUCACACAUUCGGUAUUCUGGAGUCCAAGUUAAGGUUACAACCAUAAAGCCUAUAGUGAAUUUCAGCCGUUACUAUGAAGAGUAGCUGGGUCAGUGCCAGUAGAAUGUCAGACUCACUGAUCAUCAUGUGUAUUAUAGACCUUCCUUCCUGUCUGUAUGCAAAUGAUUCUCCUUUGUUUUGGGUUAGACAGUCAUCCUGUUUUAAAUUUUGAAUAAACAACAGCCAAGCUUUUACAUCACAGCAAACCAACAAACAAACGGAUAAACAAAUAGUUCAAAGCAGGGAUUGGUUCCUCAGGACCAAUAGAAUCAUCUCCACUGGACCUGCUGACUCAGGGGGCUUUCGGCAGGGCAGUGGUCCACGGUCUGAAGUAGUGCAACAAGUAGGGAUUAGGGUGCCAGUUGUGCCGUGACCACGACAUGUCCUCACCAAACUCCGGCCGUCUCCAAACCACAAUGCAUUAUGGUACACUGUUAUCUCCAGGGAUGCAACCAGAUUGUUUCUUAAUUUUUAUGUGAGAUGAUAUGUUCCCAUGUGUUAUGGUCUCAUGUGAGAUCAUACUGUCUGUUCUUAUUAAAGAUGCAUUCUGUGAUUUUUGACCACCAGUUUUAGUAGCCAUGUCGGGCCAUGUUGGGCCAGGAAAUUGUAUUCCAUGUCAUGUAUGUGCCAAUUUGUGCCCCAUUUCAACAAAACCACGUGCUUUCAAACAUGGAAUUUCAUGGCCAACUGAGGUAUUAUAGCGAUUCUACUUACAGAUUAUGCACAUAUAAACAACAUAUUACUCAUUCAGUCCAAAACGGGAGAUAUAGAAAAAUUACUUAUUAAUUGCCAAAGUCCCAGUCUGCAUCUUUAAGUGUAACGGUCACAUGAUGAUGUGGUCUUCUUCAGUUUCAUAGUCAGGUGUAAUGGUCACAUGAUGAUGUGGUCCUCUUCAGUUUCAUUGUCAGGUGUAAUGGUCACAUGAUGAUGUGGACUUCUUCAGUUUCAUAGUCAGGUGUAAUGGUCACAUGAUGAUGUGGACUUCUUCAGUUUCAUAGUCAGGUGUAAUGGUCACAUGAUGAUGUGGUCCUCUUCAGUUUCAUAGUCAGGUGUAAUGGUCACAUGAUGAUGUGGACUUCUUCAGUUUCCUAGUCAGGUGUAAUGGUCACAUGAUGAUGUGGUAUUCUUCAGUGUCAUAGUCAGACAGAGUCUGCUUUUGGGGAGAGUUGGGUGCCUGGCUGACAUUGAUUCCAUGGUGCGUCCUUUCCCUGGAAAAAAGAAAAGAAAUUAACAGAAAUAAGUUUUCCAUUAAGUUCUAUUGUAGAUUAUAUUAUCCACAUGAGGUUUGUACUGAGGUCAUGAACAUGCUGCACUGAAUAUUCUUGACAGUAUGUCUUUAUUCAGCUAUAAAAUAUAUAGGAAUACAGGACAUAGUGUCUUUAUUGAGCUAUGUACUAUAUAUGGAUAUAGAAAAUAUUGCCUUUAUUGAGCUGUAUACUAUACAUGGAUACAGGACAUAUUGUCUUCAUUGAGCUAUAUACUAUAUAUGGAUACUGAACAGUGUCUUUAUUAAGCUGUAUAUUAUAUAUGGAUACAUGACAUGGUGUCUUUAUUGAGCUAUAUACUAUAUAUGAUAUAGGGAACAGUGUCUUGAUUAAGCUGUAUACUAUGUAUGGAUAUAGGACAUAGUGUCUAAAUUGAGCUAUAUAAUAUAUGGAUAUAGGAAAUAGUGUCUUUAUUGAGCUGUAUGCUAUUUAUGGGUACAGCGUCUUUAUUAAGCUAUAUAAUAUAUCCGGAUAUAGAACAUAGUGUCUUUAUUGAACUAUGUACCUCAUGUGGAUACAGGACAUAGUGUCUUUAUUGAACUGUAUACCUCAUGUGGAUACAGGACAUAGUGUCUUUAUUGAACUGUAUACCUCAUGUGGAUACAGGACAUAGUGUCUUUCAGUAGAUAUUAGUGGAUAUGUAUAAAUAUAUAUAUAUAUUAUGGAUCUUCUUCAUAACCAGGUGCACAUAGCAGAUUGAUACACUGUGAUCUCUUUUAUCCGUCUCCUUAGCCUGUUGUCAUGGACACCCGAAAACAUGGCUGUGCACCCUUCUAUGGUGCUUAUGACCUCAUGUCAAACCAGAAAACAGUCAUUUCUCUUGUAAUUCAUACAGAAAUUCUAUCUUGGCACAUUGUCAGAGGCUUCAGCCACGGGCACAAACACUAUUGUUUGGUUCACGACCCUGCUGCUUGCAACACCAAGGGUUGUGGGUUUCAAUUCCUGGUGCCACACAUAAGAGAAACACUCGCGCACAUCACACUUUAGAUAAACAUGUACUAAAUUGCAGUUAGUAUUAUAUUAUAAAAAGAUAGUAUUAUGUUAUAAACAGAUAGUAUUAUAUAAUAAACACAUGGCAUAAAUAGUUAGUAUUAUAUUAUAAACAGAUAUUAUUAUAUUAUAAACAGAUGGGGUUCACACCCUGAAGGCUGAUUGGCCAGAAGUGUAUAUAUACAUAUACAGUGUCUCAGAAGACAUCCAACUGGUAUGCAAAAAAUAUUAUUACUGUUCAAAGUUGUUAAUUAUUGCAAUAAACCAUGGCUAAGAGCUGUAUCCAGGCACUCAGCACUGUGUUGUGGCUAAGAGCUGUAUCCAGGCACUCAGCAAACUUUGUUGUGGCUAAGAGCUGUAUCCAGGCACUCAGUACUGUGUUGUGGCUAAGAGCUGUAUCCAGGCACUCAGCACUGUGUUGUGGCUAAAAAGAGCUCUCAGCCAGUGGUAUAUUGGCCAUAUACCACACCCCCCUCUAAUCUCACUGCUUAAUUCUAGUUGUUAUGAAUACAGAGUAAACGUUCACUAACUUUAGGCCAAGUACAAACACACUGAAGAAGCAGUUGAGACUUUCACCCCCUGCCCCUGCCCCGCCCCUGCCCCACCCCUGCCACGCCCCUACAGCCAUCCAGGGAUACAGGAUGAAACAGUGGCAGCCACUCGGCUUGCCGUUCCUUGCCGCAGUGCCUUGUUUCUCCGGGUGCUCCUAUCCAGCCAUGGCCACCAGCUCAACCAACAGCAGGAUGCCACUACCAUCAUGCAUCACCACAAUAACCUGGAGGGGUCUCAAGCAGAGCCAUUUUCCUUACGUAGUGUGACCCUUUUGACCAGCACCUAGAAACCAGUGGACAGCAUAUAAGUGGUUAAAAGUGGUGGGGUAAGAGACAUAACCGGUGAGGCUGAUAGAGUGACCCCAGGAUAAAAUAAUAAAGUUAUAGAGUUACAGGUGGAGGAUCCUAAUUGGUUAUAGAGUUACGGGUGGAGUAUAAUAUUUGGUUAUAGAGUUACGGGUGGAGUAUAAUAUUUGGUUAUAGAGUUACGGGUGGAGUAUAAUAUUUGGUUAUAGAGUUACGGGUGGAGUAUAAUAUUUGGUUAAUAGAGUUACGGGUGGAGUAUAAUAUUUGGUUAAAGAGUUACGAGUGAAACAUUCUAAUUAGAUCCACUGCAUUGCCAGAUAAUUUUAAAAUAAUAUUUUGGUUUAAAUAAAAGCAUUCUGAAAAUAUAUAAUUUCAAAUAAAACAAUUUGGACUUCUAUAUCGACCCAUAAAAUUUUUUCCUAAAUUACAAUCCACAUAUUACUGCUUCUUUGGAUAUUUACCUGCUGCACCAAACUGGCAAAUCAAAUUAAGAUCCUAUAUCUGUAAUGUUCAGAGGAAGAGACCAUCCUGUUAGAGCUAGAGGUUGGGUUCUUUGUUUGUGAAACUCAAUCUUUCGUUCUGUGGAGGACGAAUAAGAGUGAAAAUACAAAUAAAUCUGUGUCCAGCCGCUGUAGUUAAAUCUUGGCAGUUUCACCUCGAAAAACACACUUGAUCAAACCGUCCCAGUUGGUUUGGAACAGAAUCACAGGUGAAUAGAUGGUGAAUGUCCUCAGAACCAUUCAAACAGCACCCUAUUCCCUACCUGGUCACUGGGCCCCUGGGCUACCCGGUCACUGGGCCCCUGGGCUACCCGGUCACUGGGCCCCUGGUCAAAAGCAAUGCACCUCGUUAGGGAAUUCGGUUUCACUUAGACCCCAGAUUUGGAGAGACAGCUGGACAGAUACUUAACAACACAGCUAUUAUUAUGCUGGAUAAUCAUUUGGAUCAUGAUUGUGAUGGACUCUUGUUUCUGCCUUCUUCUGUCCUGUCAGAUGAAUGAUUUGUAGUGCCAACACGUUAACCUUGUCUGUCAAAAAAAGUUUAGCCAAAUGACGUUUGGGUUUCAGAGUGACGGCGAUGGUUAUCAAAGCGUUCAAUGAUGAUUUCGAAAAGAUUCCCAUACUGCAUCUCCACCAUCUGGUUGGACGAUAAAACCAUGAGAGAUUCCAAAACUUUGUGACCACCUCAUAUCCUUGUUUCCCGUCAUUUUCCCAGCAUGCCUAGAGCUCAUCGUGAGGUGGCCCAAAAACAUAUAAGCAUGUUAGUGCUCCUUGUAAAAUGCCUUCCUUCUCUCUGCCUAUAGCUCCCUCUUGCUCUCUCUCUGUUCUGUAAAAUGCCCUCUUUAUCUCUUUCUUAAAUCUCUGUAUGCAUUGAUGUGUAGCAGGCUGUCGCGGUAUUUGGUUGUGUUCCGUUUUGUUCCGUGUGUUUGUGUCACGGCCGUCAUCAGUUCUGAAUUAGAGCCAAAAUGCUCAGAUGACAAAAAAAAAAGGUGCAUUUUAGUUUGUUAAUUAAUGAAUGAAUUAACUUGGUGCUGAACGCUGAUCUUAAGGUGCUACCACAACAGUGUGUGGGCCGCUGUGUCUCUCUCCUCCUGCAGGGCUCUCUCGUUCAGAGCAAGGCCUUUCAUCGGUCCCUCUGCCAUCUGAGGGACUUGCCUGCCUGCCUCCAAAAAACCCUAGCAGACAUUGGUGCUGGGGGAGAACAAGCAUGCACCUCAAACCCUCCCAGUUUACAGACAAACACAACUCUCUACUAACAAGGUGCCACCACUUUAUGAUUUCUCGAUCUGCACAAAACAACAACAACAAAUACUACUACUGCUGUUUUGUGGUAAUGUGUUGUGUUAUUAUUUUCCUAAUGUUUUAAGUUACAUUUUGAGUGUAAAUUAUUAUUUUUGCACUAGGAUAUUUAAUUUAGUUUUUUUUAAUAAAACAAACAAACAAAAUGCAUUAUUUUUGGCACAAGCCAAGGGCCAGAGGCAUAAAGCUCUUCUGAUUAAAGAAAUCUGGGUAAAAGUUUAGAACGUGAUUGCUGUGUCGUAAUUUUCCUGUCAUCUCUGUGUCCUAAACCUGUGUGUAUCUAAUUCUGUUGUUACUGUAGAAUUGGCUGUAAUAUUCUGUUAAAAGAUGGAUUUAAUCAUCUAAUCAAGGCGACAAUGGUAUCAAUUGAAAUAUGAAUUGCUGCUGAUUUUGUUAAAUUGUUAUCAACCCUGUUGGGGAAUAUUGGUUGGUUGAAUAUUGAUUCAUUCUUUUAGAUUGUGUUAGAUUGUUAAUGUAUUUCACAAUUCUAUUAGGCUAAUCCUAUAUUAUUUGUAUGGGAAUAUUAAAAAUGGUUGGUACAAUAGCAAAAUUAUUGCUACAUGCUGUAGCAUUUUUAUUAAACUGAAAUGUACUCAAACAACCUACAUUGAGA
ensembl:lncRNA